GCAAUAUUACAAACAAACUUUGGAAUGGGUAGGCGGAAAAGUUCCCUUCGGAAUUGCAAAUAUCAGAGAUUAUGUAAAUACAUCCAAGAUUCCCAACGAAAAUGCUAUUAUCGAUUAUGAAGAAAAAGAAAUAGUUAAAGCAUGGUAUUCUUAAGCAAGACACCACAAAAAUGGACUAGUUUAAAUUUAUUUUACAUUUGUUCACCUAAAAAACCUUUUAUAUGGUUGGAUCAUUGGCAUAAACAUCGUCUUAACUGGUGGAGAAAGUUAUUAUAUACAAAUAUUAUGAAAAGUGUAGAUGCUGUUCAGUUUAGUAAGAAAACAGUUUGAAGCUGUCAGAUUUGCUGGAAAAGAUGAUGUAUAUCAAAUGGAGAAUGAUCAAUUCUAUUUCUAUAAUUAUAUAAUUUGUUUACAGCAUAUAAUAAUUUAUAUAUACUGCAACUAAGAACUAAGCAGCUAAUAUAAUUAAGCAGAAUUAAGAACUUAGGUUAAACAUUUAUUACAUGUUUGAUUAUUAAUAAUAAAGUUUUGAAAGCCAAAAUCCUUAAUAAAAAUGGCACUUUUAGUGAAUUAUAUUAUGCCAGCUUUUGCAUACAAGCAUGCAUUUAACAGAAGAGAAUAAUUAAGGCUUUCAGUGCGUGUUUAAUGGUACGUUUUAAAA